AGUGAACGCUGGCGGUAGGCCUAACACAUGCAAGUCGAACGGCAGCACAGCAAGAGCUUGCUCUUACGGGUGGCGAGUGGCGGACGGGUGGGGAAUACAUCGGAAUCUACUUUUUCGUGGGGGAUAACGUAGGGAAACUUACGCUAAUACCGCAUACGACCUACGGGUGAAAGCAGGGGAUCUUCGGACCUUGCGCGAUUGAAUGAGCCGAUGUCGGAUUAGCUAGUUGGCGGGGUAAAGGCCCACCAAGGCGACGAUCCGUAGCUGGUCUGAGAGGAUGAUCAGCCACACUGGAACUGAGACACGGUCCAGACUCCUACGGGAGGCAGCAGUGGGGAAUAUUGGACAAUGGGCGCAAACCUGAUCCAGCCAUACCGCGUGGGUGAAGAAGGCCUUCGGGUUGUAAAGCCCUUUUGUUGGGAAAGAAAAGCAGCAGGUUAAUACCCCGCUGUUCUGACGGUACCCAAAGAAUAAGCACCGGCUAACUUCGUG
rnacentral:rRNA from 1 species